rnacentral:rRNA from 1 species
UAGGUAGGGUGCGAGCGUUAAUCGGAAUUACUGGGCGUAAAGCGUGCGCAGGCGGCUUGGUAAGACAGGUGUGAAAUUCCCGGGCUUAACCUGGGAACUGCAUUUGUGACUGCCAGUCUCGAGUGCGGCAGAGGGGAGUGGAAUUCCGCGUGUAGAGGUGAAAUGCGUAGAUAUGAGGAGGAACACCGAUGGCGAAGGCAACUCCCUGGGCCUGCACUGACGCUCAUGCACGAAAGCGUGGGGAGCAAACAGG